rnacentral:rRNA from 1 species
AUGGAGUUCACCGCCGCGUCCAGCAGCAGCAGGCUGUCGAAAGAGGAGGACGAGGAGGAGGAGGGGGAGGAGAUGGAGGAGGAGGAGGCCUCCCCGCGUGAGAUCCCCUUCAUGACGGCCAUGACGGCGGCCGCCUCGUCCUCCUCCCCGACGUCCGCGUCCGCAUCUUCUUCAGCGGCGGCGGCCUCCGCGUCGGCGUCUGGGUCGGGCUCUCCCUUCCGCUCGAGCGACGGCGCUGGGGCGUCUGGGAGCGGGGCGGGCGGCGGCGACGUGGAGGUGAUCGACAAGGAGCACAUGUUCGACAAGGUGGUCACGCCGAGCGACGUGGGCAAGCUCAACCGGCUGGUGAUCCCCAAGCAGCACGCCGAGAAGUACUUCCCUCUGGACGCGGCGGCCAACGAGAAGGGCCUGCUGCUCAGCUUCGAGGACCGCGGGGGCAAGCUCUGGCGCUUCCGCUACUCCUACUGGAACAGCAGCCAGAGCUACGUCAUGACCAAGGGCUGGAGCCGCUUCGUCAAGGAGAAGCGCCUCGACGCCGGGGACACCGUCUCCUUCUGCCGCGGCGCCGCCGACGCCACGCGCGACCGCCUCUUCAUCGACUGGAAGCGCCGCGCCGAACUCCGCGACCCGCACCGCCUCGCGCGCCUGCCCAUGCCCAUGCCCACCUCCUCUCCCUACGGCCCGUGGGGCGCCGGACCGGGCGGUUUCUUCAUGCCGCCCGCGCCUCCAGCCACCCUCUACGAGCACCACCGCCUCCGCCAGGGCUUUGACUUCCGCAGCAUCAGUCCCGCCGCUCCGCCGAGGCCGCAGGUGCUCUACUUCGGCUCCGCGGGAAUUUUCCCGCACGCGACCAUGCCGCCUCCGCAGCCGCAACCUCCGCUGCACAUUGCGGUGCAACCGAGCCCGCCGGUCACGGUCGGCAUGCCCAUGGUCCUCGAUUCGACGCCACUCGUCAACAGCCCGACGGCGGCCGCGAAGCGCGUGCGUCUGUUCGGAGUCAACCUCGACAACCCGCACACCCACGGCGGCGAGUCAAGCAACGAUGCCAACGCAUUGUCGCUGCGGAUGCCGGGAUGGCAAAGGCCGACACAGUUUAGGUCGCUGGAAUUGCCCCAGCACGGUGCAGCCGGAGCGGAGUCGUCUGCGGCCUCGUCGCCGUCGUCAUCAUCAUCCUCCAAGAGAGAAGCGCAUUCCUCCUUGGAUCUCGAUCUGUGA